GAGAAAUAUACAUUAUUCAAGUUCAUGCUUCUAGCACAUCUCAAUACUCAAUUACCAGACCUCCACUCAUUCCAUCCCCUCAUUAUAUUAAUGCAGAUGUCUUCACAUCAAUAAUCAAAUUUAGAAAAACUAUAGAAAUACCUCUUCAACUUUGAGCCAUUUACAUUGAAACCUAAAUACUUAAAAGUAUCAAUUAGACACCAAAAUUUUAAAUUUAUUACACUGUCUA
rnacentral:lncRNA from 1 species